rnacentral:rRNA from 1 species
UACAGAGGUGGCAAGCGUUGUUCGGAAUUACUGGGCGUAAAGGGCGCGUAGGCGGUUCGGUAAGUCCUGUGUGAAAUCCCUCGGCUCAACUGAGGAACUGCACGGGAGACUGCCAGGCUUGAGUUCGGGAGAGGGAAGCGGAAUUCCGGGUGUAGCGGUGAAAUGCGUAGAUAUCCGGAGGAACACCGGUGGCGAAGGCGGCUUCCUGGACCGACACUGACGCUGAGGCGCGAAAGCUAGGGGAGCAAACGGG